UGCAAGUCGAACGGGGUAGCAAUACCCAAUGGCAGACGGGUGAGUAACACGUGGUCAACCUACCUUUGUGAGGGGGAUAACUAGCCGAAAGGUUAGCUAAUACCGCAUACGAUCGCUUUGGGGCAUCCCGAGGCGAUGAAAGAAGCAAUUCGCACGAAGAGGGGACUGCGUCCCAUUAGUUAGUUGGUGGGGUAACGGCCUACCAAGACUCCGAUGGGUAGCUGGCUUGAGAGAGCGACCAGCCACACUGGAACUGAGACACGGUCCAGACUCCUAUGGGAGGCAGCAGUGAGGAAUUUUCCGCAAUGGGCGAAAGCCUGACGGAGCGACGCCGCGUGUGGGAAGAAGGCCUUCGGGUCGUAAACCACUGUCGAAGGGGACGAUAUUGACGGUACCCUUGGAUGAAGCCCCGGCUAACUACGUUGCAGCACG
rnacentral:rRNA from 1 species